AGUGGAAUAGGGCAAUCACCCUUUCCCGGAAAGCAAGAAGGUUGCAUUUCCUGGCGCUGUAAAUAGAACCUCUGUGAGUCUGGCCACCCCCUCUUCUCAGGAGACUGCAGACGGUGGAUGGUAACAGCCUCUGUCUUUUGGGCAGGCAUAAUUAAUGGAGUAAGUGUAGGUUUGUGGCUUGUGAGCAGCCAGGGUGAAACUGCUUGUCCAUUUCAGCUUUCGCCUAAACCACUGGGACACUUACUUCCUGAGUCAAUGGGGAUCUCGCAAUGCUAACAAAAGACCCCCAUUGAUCAUUGCCCUCUCAUAAUUGCUGCCAGUGUGAGGCUGUCCCUCACAACUUGUUGACAUCUCUUGACAAUUUAACUAUGGCCCAUGCUAAAGGCCCAAAGCCAUCAAAACGCAGGGUGAAAAAUGAAAAGGUCUUUCACAUGCAUCAUUGGAUUACAAUCUCAAGUCUGGGAUCCCAGUGGAAUUGAGUAUCCAUUGAGAAUUUACUGUGCUCUAGGCACGGAACAAGACGCUUCGGGUCCUUCAAAGACAACACCUAAUUAUCCCCAGAGAAGUCAUGGCUGAAAAGAUGGGAUGGUGAGAGUCCCUAGAUCCAUUCUAGACAUGAGUUUCUCUGGAAGUUUCCUGCCACUGCCAAAGGUGUUUCUUGCCCACCUGUCGAGAAAAUUCUUGACUGCCUGAUUUCUCCAAAUAGUAAGUGUUCUUGGAGCAAUCAAAUGAUUUUUUAAAACAGCAGGCGGGAUGAUAAUGUUUUAAAAUAGAGUCUAUCUGCCAUCUUGUAGCUUCCAUUCUCAUUCCAGAUGAAGUACUGGGGGUGCCAGAGUCCAGAUGAGGAUUUUGGUAUCUCCAAGGAUUAGCAGAACAUAGGGAGAGAAAGAGGCCCUGUUAUCUUUGCACAGGGGCGGCCAUUUGACUUCUCAGCGAUGGAAGUCAGCAUUUCCUUCGGUGUAAGUGGUAGCUUUUGACUGGCUGUCAGGAGAGCCCGAGUUUGUUUAAUUUGGAGUAAAGUUUUAUGAGUUAAUCUCCAGUGAGGGAAAGCGGCAGUAAACACAGAACAUAUUGGUCAUUAUUCCUAGUAUUUCUACAUUCUUUCUCAUGCAUCAAAGGAGAAAAAAAUUUCAAAAGAAUGAGGAGGCAUAGUGCUCAAACAUGUGUGUGUGUGUGUGUGCGCACGCGUGUGCCCGCGUAUAAUUUUGUUUUGACCAAACCAUCUGGUGUACAAUAUACUCCAGUAGUGUGAAGGCAAACAUUUACCAGGAGAUUCACAUGGUUUCUGCUGUGAAUAAACAUACUUGCCCAAGACUCUUAAGUUUCUAG
rnacentral:lncRNA from 12 species